rnacentral:rRNA from 1 species
AGUGAACGCUGGCGGUAGGCCUAACACAUGCAAGUCGAACGGCGGCACAGUAAGAGCUUGCUCUUACGGGUGGCGAGUGGCGGACGGGUGAGGAAUACAUCGGAAUCUACUUUUUCGUGGGGGAUAACGUAGGGAAACUUACGCUAAUACCGCAUACGCCCUACGGGUGAAAGCAGGGGAUCUUCGGGCCUUGCGCGAUUGAAUGAGCCGAUGUCGGAUUAGCUAGUUGGCGGGGUAAAGGCCCACCAAGGCGACGAUCCGUAGCUGGUCUGAGAGGAUGAUCAGCCACACUGGAACGGAGACACGGUCCAGACUCCUACGGGAGGCAGCAGUGGGGAAUAUUGGACAAUGGGCGCAAGCCUGAUCCAGCCAUACCGCGUGGGUGAAGAAGGCCUUCGGGUUGUAAAGCCCUUUUGUUGGGAAAGAAAAGCAGCAGGUUAAUACCCCGCUGUUCUGACGGUACCCAAAGAAUAAGCACCGGCUAACUUCGUG